UACAGAGGUGGCAAGCGUUGUUCGGAAUUACUGGGCGUAAAGGGCGCGUAGGCGGCCAUCUAAGUCAGACGUGAAAUCCCCCGGCUCAACCUCGGAACUGCCUUUGAUACUGCAAAUCUCGAGUCCGGAAGAGGUGAGUGGAAUUCCUAGUGUAGAGGUGAAAUUCGUAGAUAUUAGGAAGAACACCAGUGGCGAAGGCGGCUCACUGGUCCGGUACUGACGCUGAGGUGCGAAAGCGUGGGGAGCAAACAGG
rnacentral:rRNA from 1 species